ACGUCAACUUCUGCAGACAGGUCUGUGUAACUUCAGGCAAUGCACACCUUUCUUCCCCAGCUUCUCUGCCAGACAUCUACUACAAUGCACUCAGGCCGGAAAUUCAGAGAAUAUUUUCUUCACUAAUGAAGCUGGUCAACUGCAAAAUAUCUUCACAGGAUACAUAUGUUCCAGAAGACAAAAGAGAGCAAUUUAAACGGAGUGUCAGAAAUGUAUUCACCACACUAACUGUUCAUCUUCCACAGGGGGUCAAUUUAUUUAUUCUUAUCUAACAACCAUAGUUUUGCAGUAUAGUCACAGACCACCUUUCAGGAGUCAUUAUCUCUUUCCUCUAUGUAUUGCUUCAGCUUAUCCUAG